GGCAGAGUGCCUGAGUGGUUAAAGGGAUGCACUCGAAUCUCGAGGUAUGCAUUGGCUUCGGCCGCGCAAGUUCGAAUCUUGUCUCUGUCG
rnacentral:tRNA from 1 species